CACAUCUAAGAGUACAUCCCCUACCCUGACUCCAUCGCCAUCCCCAACUCCUAAGCCUCUAAUUGGUGAAACCCUGUCUUCUGCUUCUUCCCAACCAUGUUCUAAAAGUAGUGGUGGCUCCAGCAGUGGCAGCAUCACUGAUGAAGAGCCUGUGGAUGUGCUGGAGGAAUCAGCAGAUACUCCCUCUGUCCUCCAGGUCAUUGAGCCAAUCCUGCAGCUGCUGCCCACCGAACCACACGAAGAACCUUCAGCUGUCAUUCUG